GUAAUACUCCCUCCGUUCGAAGUUACUUGUCGUAGAAAUGGAUGUAUCCAGAUGUAUUUUAGUUCUAGAUACAUCCAUUUUCGAGACAAGUAAUUCCGAACGGAGGGAGUAUGAU
rfam:Triticum aestivum genome assembly, contig: Triticum_aestivum_CS42_TGACv1_scaffold_320380_4BL